UAUGCAAGCAUGACUUACAAGCUAGUAUUAGGGAAUAGUGUGGGCUAAUAUUAUCUAUUUAAGGUCUGGACAUAACUAGGCUAAAUCCGGGACAUUAAUCAUAGCCCAACCCAACUUUAAAUUCAGCCCAAUUAAAUAAAAGAAAAGAAAAGAAGGAAAAAAAGAAAAUCAAUCAUCACAGUCACCGCCCUUGAAAUUGUAAAUACUCUCAUUCCCUGUUUGGUUCGCGAGAAAACAGAGAGAAAAACAUUAACCCAGAAGGUAAAAUCUCUCAAUUUGCGGUCUUGUUCGUAUCUCUGUGCCCAUAGCCAAUCCUGAGGCCAACGAAAGAUACAAUUUUACCCGAGAUGGACAGUAAAAAAACAUUCCUAAGUAUGCACCAGCACAAUUUUACAUUGAUAAUGUUCUACCCCAAAUCAAGGAGAAGAAGAUAAUGGCACUUAAACCUUUUGUCAAUCGGCUUGGGUAUGACAAUGUUCCUCAAGAAAUCAGCAGGCUAAGGUGCAGGGUGAAUUAUCAUGCUCUGAAAUUUCUUCCUGAGAUUGAGCAGAUGGCUGAUUCACUGGCAUCAAGGAUGAGAAACCGUAGAGGCAGCUCAAAUCCUUUCAUGUAUGUGAAAUUGGUUGUGAAGGUUUCUGAACAAUAUUCUGGGUCUUGCUAGUAGCCAACCGUACUAACUAGGAAUAACUAGACGUUAUAAGGUGACCUGGAAUGAUGACACUUUGAUUGGCUUCUGGGAGAGAUGUUAAUAGAAACAAUUUACCAAACAAUUCUGUGAUCGGGGUGUGCAAGUUGUCGUCUGAUCUUUUUCCGGGGAAGGACUUAUCGGCCACAUCACUUUCCGUGACGGUCGGGUUAAUGAAUGUGAUAGGGUGUUGGUUUGGAGCUAUGCCAAGUUGCCAUGGUGAUGGUGGGUUAGCUGGGCAGUACAAGUUUGGUGGUAGGAGUGGUGGGUGUGUGGUACUUCUUGGCACAGCUAAAUUGAUGUUGGGUUUGGUAUUAGGGACUUCUUUGGGGAAGAUUUUGGACCAAUUUCCUGUUGGGAUACUUGGAGUUUUGCUCUUGUUUGCGGGGAUUGAGCUAGCUAUGGCUUCAAGGGACAUGAAUUCCAAGGAGGAAUCUUUUGUGAUGCUUAUUUGCACAGCGGUUUCACUUGUGGGUUCAAGUGCAGCGCAGGGUUUUGUGUCUGGGAUGAUUGUGCAUGUGCUUCUUAGGCUAAGAAAUUUGAGUAAGAUCAACCCUGUUGUUCCAUAGUAUAUUGUGUGCCCACUUCUCAUCUUGUGGUGAUUUGAUAAUUUCUAAUGUAUCAUUUGAAAUCGUGUAGAUUUUAAGUUUAGUUCAACAGAUGUCUUUUACUAAUGAAAAGGCACAGACAAUCCAAAGCAGCUUGUUAAUUCAGCUCUUGAGCUUUCUUGCAUUUUUCCUCCAGAUUCGUCAUCUCGAGAUUGUACUAGUCCAAGUUCUACAAAAAGCAACUUGUUCAGAAAUAA